GACGAACGCUGGCGGCGUGCUUAACACAUGCAAGUCGAACGGAAAGGCCCCUUUGGGGGUACUCGAGUGGCGAACGGGUGCGUAACACGUGAGUAACCUGCCCUUGACUUCGGGAUAACUUCAGGAAACUGGGGCUAAUACCGGAUAGGAAUCCUUGCUGCAUGGUGGGGGUUGGAAAGCUUCGGCGGUUUUGGAUGGACUCGCGGCUUAUCAGCUUGUUGUUGGGGUAGUGGCUUACCAAGGCUUUGACGGGUAGCCGGCCUGAGAGGGCGACCGGCCACAUUGGGACUGAGAUACGGCCCAGACGCCUACGGGAGGCAGCAGUGGGGAAUAUUGCACAAUGGGCGGAAGCCUGAUGCAGCAACGCCGCGUGCGGGAUGACGGCCUUCGGGUUGUAAACCGCUUUCAGCAGGGGCGAAGCUUGUGGUGACGGUACCUGCAGAAGAAGCACCGGCUAACUACGUG
rnacentral:rRNA from 1 species